rnacentral:rRNA from 1 species
CCUACGGGAGGCAGCAGUGAGGAAUAUUGGUCAAUGGACGAGAGUCUGAACCAGCCAAGUAGCGUGAAGGAUGACUGCCCUAUGGGUUGUAAACUUCUUUUAUAUGGGAAUAAAAUGUUCCACGUGUGGGAUUUUGUAUGUACCAUAUGAAUAAGGAUCGGCUAACUCCGUGCCAGCAGCCGCGGUAAUACGGAGGAUCCGAGCGUUAUCCGGAUUUAUUGGGUUUAAAGGGAGCGUAGGUGGAUUGUUAAGUCAGUUGUGAAAGUUUGCGGCUCAACCGUAAAAUUGCAGUUGAAACUGGCAGUCUUGAGUACAGUAGAGGUGGGCGGAAUGCGUGGUGUAGCGGUGAAAUGCUUAGAUAUCGCGAAGAACUCCGAUUGCGAAGGCAGUUCACUGGACUGAAACUGACACUGAGGCUCGAAAGUGUGGGUAUCAAACAGGAUUAGAUACCCCUGUAGUC